UAAUUAUGUGAAAAGGAUGAAUAUUCUAGUCUCAAAGUGUCACGCUCUGGUCCGCUAAUUAAUCCAAACCCCCUGAACAAAGGGUACCUGAGAUUGAGACUUUGGGGUUUCAUAAACUGUAAGCCAUAAUCAUCCAAAUUAUAACAAAUAAAGGCUUGAAAUAUCUCGCUUUGCAUGUAAU